rnacentral:rRNA from 1 species
CAGUCGCCGCGGUAAUACAGAGGGUGCGAGCGUUAAUCGGAUUUACUGGGCGUUAAGAGUGCGUAGGCGGCUUCUUAAGUCGGAUGUGAAAUCCCUGAGCUUAACUUAGGAAUUGCAUUCGAUACUGGGAAGCUAGAGUAUGGGAGAGGAUGGUAGAAUUCCAGGUGUAGCGGUGAAAUGCGUAGAGAUCUGGAGGAAUACCGAUGGCGAAGGCAGCCAUCUGGCCUAAUACUGACGCUGAGGUACGAAAGCAUGGGGAGCAAACAGGAUUAGAUACCCGCGUAGUCCCUGUCUCUUAUAC